rnacentral:rRNA from 1 species
AAUCGCUGUGAAAAGAACAAGACUGAGGCUGGAUUGUACUGCGGCCGGGCCGAGGCAGCAUCGUUAGGAGCUUUCGACAGGUUAGUUUUUUCUGAUGAUUUCCGAGCUGCUUAUCUUAUCUAGCAAUCUCGUUGCGUCCGCACAAGAAAAACAAGAGAGGAUUAGCUUCGGUAUUUACCACUAUGAUGAUGGCUUCCUUCCUUCCUUCAUAUUAGCAGCAGCAGCAGCAGUCAACAGAGCAGCACAGGCGGCUAGAGUUUAAUCCCCACACGGCACACGCCACGCACACGGCGGAGGAGCUCAGAUGGCCAGCGGCGGCGCGUCGGACGCGGAGGCGGAGCUGCGGCGGGGCUUCAAGGCCCUGGCCGUGACGCGGCCGGACCCGGCGGCCGCGGUCUACGAGGUGCGCCUCAGCCGCCCCGCGCAGCGCAACGCGCUCAGCCCGGACUCCUUCGCGGAGAUCCCGCGCGCCAUGGCGCUGCUCGACCGCGUCCCCGCCGCGCGCGCCGUCGUGCUCUCCGCCGCGGGCCCCCACUUCUGCGCGGGCAUCGAGCUCGGCGGGCCCGGGAACCCGCUCACCGCGCCCUUCAGCCGGGGCGCCGACCCCGCGGCCGCGGCCGAGGGGCUCCGCCGCGCCAUCCUCGGCAUGCAGGCCGCGCUCACCGCCGUCGAGCUGUGCCGGAAGCCCGUCAUCGCGGCCGUGCACGGCGCCUGCGUCGGCGGCGGCGUCGACCUCGUCGCCGCCUGCGACAUACGCUACUGCUCAAAGGACGCCACGUUCGUGCUCAAGGAGGUGGACAUGGCCAUCGUUGCCGACCUCGGCGCGCUCCAGCGCCUGCCGCGGAUCGUCGGCUACGGGAACGCCGCAGACCUAGCCCUCACGGGCCGCAGGAUCACCGCCGCGGAGGCCAAGGAGAUGGGGCUGGUCAGCAGGGUGUUCGAUUCCAAGCAGGAGCUGGAUGCUGGUGUUGCGAAGAUCGCCAAAGAAAUAUCAGAGAAGUCGGCAAACGCAGUGAUGGGAACGAAGGCAGUUCUACUGAGAAGCAGAGAUAUCACAGUAGAGCAGGGCCUGGAGCAUGUAGCGACUUGGAACUCUGGAAUGCUGAGAUCUAAUGACCUGAUGGAGGCCAUCAAAGCUUUCAUGGAGAAGCGGAAGCCUGUUUUCUCUAAGCUCUGAUGAUCUUCAUCAUGGGCGAAAAUUUAUAUGUGAACCCUAGCCACCUGAGAAUGAAAGUGAGAUGGUAGAAUGUAGACAAGAAAUAGUACAAUCUAUGAAUUUGGAAAACAAGUGCUCUUGUUAUCUGUAUCUUGUAUGCAUAUCAUAUCAUAUAUAAAAGGGAAUAAAACAAGGAUUUUAUGGUAUUUCCUUAGCA